GAGUUUGAUCAUGGCUCAGGACGAACGCUGGCGGCGUGCUUAACACAUGCAAGUCAAGGGGGCCCGGUAGCAAUACUGGGCAACCGGCGAACGGGUGCGUAACACGUGGGCAACCUACCGAAAUGUGGGGGAUAGCCGGUCUAACGGCCGAGUAAUACCGCAUACGCUCUCGAUGAGGCAUUUCAUUGAGAGGAAACCUACGGGACAUUUCGAGGGGCUCGCGGCCUAUCAGCUAGUUGGAGAGGUAACGGCUCACCAAGGCAACGACGGGUAGCUGGUCUGAGAGGAUGGCCAGCCACAUUGGGACUGAGAUACGGCCCAGACUCCUACGGGAGGCAGCAGUGGGGAAUCUUGCGCAAUGGCCUAACGGCUGACGCAGCGACGCCGCGUGUGGGAUGAAGCUCUUCGGAGUGUAAACCACUGUUGCCCGGGACGAAUAGCUCGAUUAAUCGAGCCUGACGGUACCGGGUGAGGAAGCACCGGCUAACUCCGUGCCUGCAGCCGCGGUAAUACGGGGGGUGCGAGCGUUGUCCGGAAUCACUGGGCGUAAAGGGCGCGUAGGUGGUCUGAUAAGGGUGUGGUGAAAGUCCGGGGCUCAACCCCGGAUCUGCCGUGCCGACUGUCAGACUCGAGGACUGUAGAG
rnacentral:rRNA from 1 species